rnacentral:rRNA from 1 species
UACGUAGGGAGCAAGCGUUGUCCGGAAUCAUUGGGCGUAAAGCGCGCGUAGGCGGCCCCGUAAGUCCGCUGUGAAAGUCAAAGGCUCAACCUUUGAAAGCCGGUGGAUACUGUGGGGCUAGAGUCCGGAAGAGGCGAGUGGAAUUCCUGGUGUAGCGGUGGAAUGCGCAGAUAGUCAGGAGGAACACCGGUGGCGAAGGCGGGUCUCUGGGCCGAUACUGACCGCUGAGGAGCGAAAGCGUGGGGAGCGAACAGG